GCUUGUCUCAAAGAUUAAGCCAUGCAUGUCUAAGUAUAAGCACUUAUACCGUGAAACUGCGAAUGGCUCAUUAUAUCAGUUAUAGUUUAUUUGAUGGUUCUUGCUACUUGGAUAACCGUAGUAAUUCUAGAGCUAAUACAUGCGUCAAACCUCGACUUCUGGGAGAGGUGUAUUUAUUAGAUGGAAACCAAUGCGGGGCAACCCGGAUUAUGGUGAUUCAUAAUAACUUUCAGAUCGAUCGCAAGAUCGAUGCAUCAUUCAAGUUUCUGCCCUAUCAGCUUUGGAUGGUAGGGUAUUGGCCUACCAUGGCUUUAACGGGUAACGGAGAAUUAGGGUUCGAUUCCGGAGAGGGAGCCUGAGAAACGGCUACCACAUCCAAGGAAGGCAGCAGG
rnacentral:rRNA from 1 species